rnacentral:rRNA from 1 species
UACAGGGGGUGCAAACGUUGCUCGGAAUCAUUGGGCGUAAAGCGCACGUAGGCGGUUCGUUAUGUCGGAUGUGAAAGCCCUUGGCUUAACCGAGGAAGUGCAUCCGAAACUGGCGAGCUAGAGUACUAAAGAGGAUCGCGGAAUUCCCGGUGUAGAGGUGAAAUUCGUAGAUAUCGGGAGGAACACCGGUGGCGAAGGCGGCGAUCUGGGUAGAUACUGACGCUGAGGUGCGAAAGCGUGGGGAGCAAACAGA